CCUACGGGAGGCAGCAGUGAGGAAUAUUGGUCAAUGGACGAGAGUCUGAACCAGCCAAGUAGCGUGAAGGAUGACUGCCCUAUGGGUUGUAAACUUCUUUUAUAAAGGAAUAAAACGAGGCACGUGUGCCUUUUUGCAUGUACUUUAUGAAUAAGGAUCGGCUAACUCCGUGCCAGCAGCCGCGGUAAUACGGAGGAUCCGAGCGUUUUCCGGAUUUAGUGGGUUUAAAGGGAGCGUAGAUGGGUUGUUAAGUCAGUUGUGAAAGUUUGCGGCUCAACCGUAAAAUUGCAAUUGAAACUGGCAGUCUUGAGUACAGUUGAGGUAGGCGGAAUUCGUGGUGUAGCGGUGAAAUGCUUAGAUAUCACGAAGAACCCCGAUUGCGAAGGCAGCUUACUAAACUGUGACUGACAUUGAUGCUCGAAAGUGUGGGUAUCAAACAGGAUUAGAUACCCCUGUAGUC
rnacentral:rRNA from 1 species